rnacentral:rRNA from 1 species
AUGGGGGGGGGUCUAUACAUGCAAGUCGAGCGAAUGGAUUAAGAGCUUGCUCUUAUGAAGUUAGCGGCGGACGGGUGAGUAACACGUGGGUAACCUGCCCAUAAGACUGGGAUAACUCCGGGAAACCGGGGCUAAUACCGGAUAACAUUUUGAACCGCAGGGUUCGAAAUUGAAAGGCGGCUUCGGCUGUCACUUAUGGAUGGACCCGCGUCGCAUUAGCUAGUUGGUGAGGUAACGGCUCACCAAGGCAACGAUGCGUAGCCGACCUGAGAGGGUGAUCGGCCACACUGGGACUGAGACACGGCCCAGACUCCUACGGGAGGCAGCAGUAGGGAAUCUUCCGCAAUGGACGAAAGUCUGACGGAGCAACGCCGCGUGAGUGAUGAAGGCUUUCGGGUCGUAAAACUCUGUUGUUAGGGAAGAACAAGUGCUAGUUGAAUAAGCUGGCACCUUGACGGUACCUAACCAGAAAGCCACGGCUAACUACGUGCCAGCAGCCGCGGUAAUACGUAGGUGGCAAGCGUUAUCCGGAAUUAUUGGGCGUAAAGCGCGCGCAGGUGGUUUCUUAAGUCUGAUGUGAAAGCCCACGGCUCAACCGUGGAGGGUCAUUGGAAACUGGGAGACUUGAGUGCAGAAGAGGAAAGUGGAAUUCCAUGUGUAGCGUAAAUUUGGCCGUUGGAG